rnacentral:rRNA from 1 species
GGCUCAGAUUGAACGCUGCGGGCAUGCCUUACACAUGCAAGUCGAACGGCAGCGCGGGGCAACCUGGCGGCGAGUGGCGAACGGGUGAGUAAUAUAUCGGAACGUACCCUGGAGUGGGGGAUAACGUAGCGAAAGUUACGCUAAUACCGCAUACGAUCUAAGGAUGAAAGUGGGGGAUCGCAAGACCUCAUGCUCCUGGAGCGGCCGAUAUCUGAUUAGCUAGUUGGUAGGGUAAAAGCCUACCAAGGCAUCGAUCAGUAGCUGGUCUGAGAGGACGACCAGCCACACUGGAACUGAGACACGGUCCAGACUCCUACGGGAGGCAGCAGUGGGGAAUUUUGGACAAUGGGCGCAAGCCUGAUCCAGCAAUGCCGCGUGAGUGAAGAAGGCCUUCGGGUUGUAAAGCUCUUUUGUCAGGGAAGAAACGGUGAAGGCUAAUAUCCUCCACUAAUGACGGUACCUGAAGAAUAAGCACCGGCUAACUACGUGCCAGCAGCCGCGGUAAUACGUAGGGUGCAAGCGUUAAUCGGAAUUACUGGGCGUAAAGCGUGCGCAGGCGGUUUUGUAAGUUUGUCGUGAAAUCCCCGGGCUCAACCUGGGAAUGGCGAUGAAGACUGCAAGGCUAGAAUCUGGCAGAGGGGGGUAGAAUUCCACGUGUAGCAGUGAAAUGCGUAGAGAUGUGGAGGAACACCGAUGGCGAAGGCAGCCCCCUGGGUCAAGAUUGACGCUCAUGCACGAAAGCGUGGGGAGCAAACAGGAUUAGAUACCCUGGUAGUCCACGCCCUAAACGAUGUCUACUAGUUGUCGGGUUUUAAUUAACUUGGUAACGCAGCUAACGCGUGAAGUAGACCGCCUGGGGAGUACGGU